rnacentral:rRNA from 1 species
CGGGGGUCUUCGGACCCUAGUGGCGGACGGGUGAGUAACACGUGGGGAACCUACCCUAGAGUGGGGGAUACCGCCGGGAAACCGGCGCUAAGACCGCAUACGCUCCGUGAACGAGGGUUGACGGAGGAAACGCGCAAGCGGCUCUUGGAGGGUCUCGCGGCGGAUUAGCUAGUUGGAGGGGUCACGGCCCACCAAGGCGACGAUCCGUAGCUGGUCUGAGAGGACGGCCAGCCACACCGGGACUGAGACACGGCCCGG